UACGGAGGGUGCAAGCGUUAUCCGGAUUCACUGGGUUUAAAGGGUGCGUAGGUGGUUGUGCAAGUCUGAUGUGAAAUCUCCGGGCUUAACCCGGAAAUGGCAUUGGAAACUGCAUGGCUAGAGGGUUGGAGGGGGGACUGGAAUACUUGGUGUAGCAGUGAAAUGCGUAGAUAUCAAGUGGAACACCAGUGGCGAAGGCGAGUCCCUGGACAACACCUGACACUGAGGCACGAAAGCUAGGGGAGCAAACAGG
rnacentral:rRNA from 1 species